GCCAUACUCUUUGCAACCAAACUGCACAUCAACCCUGGGCUUGAGCUCAGGUGACUUCUUGAGAUGAGCUUAUAUCUGUUGCUUGUGAGCUCCUCCUGGGCCUCGGAAUCCACACAGAAUGAAUGGCAAGAAGGCUCCACUACUUGGCCCAGGCCUUGCCUUGUGCUGGGUCAUACUCUCUGUGAUCAGCACUCUUCUCUGUUGAACACAUCAGCGCCAUCUGCCUUCCGUCUGCCUGGAGAGACUUGCCACAGUAGAGCUUCUUCAGCCUCACAUGAACCAGUGCAAAUGAUGUGCGUUCCUUUUGCUGAAGCCAUCAAAUAAAAAAGCU
rnacentral:lncRNA from 1 species